rnacentral:rRNA from 1 species
AUUGAACGCUGGCGGCAGGCCUAACACAUGCAAGUCGAACGAGUGGCGGACGGGUGAGUAAUGUCUGGGAAACUGCCCGAUGGAGGGGGAUAACUACUGGAAACGGUAGCUAAUACCGCAUACCAUCGGAUGUGCCCAGAUGGGAUUAGCUGGUAGGUGGGGUAACGGCUCACCUAGGCGACGAUCCCUAGCUGGUCUGGGAGGAUGACCAGCCAAACUGGGACUGGGACGCGGUCCAGACUCCUACGGGAGGCAGCAGUGGGGAAUAUUGCACAAUGGGCGCAAGCCUGAUGCAGCCAUGCCGCGUGUAUGAAGAAGGCCUUCGGGUUGUAAAGUACUUUCAGCGGGGAGGCGUUACUCGCAGAAGAAGCACCGGCUAACUCCGUGCCAGCAGCCGCGGUAAUAC